rnacentral:rRNA from 1 species
CAGCAGCCGCGGUAAUACGUAGGUCCCGAGCGUUGUCCGGAUUUAUUGGGCGUAAAGCGAGCGCAGGCGGUUAGAUAAGUCUGAAGUGAAAGGCAGUGGCUCAACCAUUGUAGGCUUUGGAAACUGUUUAACUUGAGUGCAGAAGGGGAGAGUGGAAUUCCAUGUGUAGCGGUGAAAUGCGUAGAUAUAUGGAGGAACACCGGUGGCGAAAGCGGCUCUCUGGUCCGUAACUGACGCUGAGGCUCGAAAGCGUGGGGAGCGAACAGGAUUAGAGACCCCUGUAGUCCUGUCUCUUAUACAC